rnacentral:lncRNA from 1 species
GCGAGGGAUGUACUGCACAGUGCCAUCAGCCGCAUUGUGCGCAGGAGCAGUUUGCGGCAGGCUUUACUGGGAGGCGUGACAGCAGGUGCCGCAAAAGGCUUUGCUUAUUUGUUGGCAAAGGCAAGAAAACGAUGGAAGAGCUGAACAGUGGAUGGGGCACCAACAUGUUAAAUCUAUGUCAGACUUCGGAAUUUGCGCUCAGCACAGGCUGUAUCACUAAUGCGA